rnacentral:rRNA from 1 species
GAUGAACGCUGGCGGCGUGCCUAAUACAUGCAAGUCGAACGAGUGGCGGACGCGUGAGAAAUAUCUGGGAAACUGCCCCAUGGAGGGGGAUAACUACUGGAAACGGUAGCUAAUACCGCAUACCAUCGGAUGUGCCCAGAUGGGAUUAGCUUGUAGGUGCGGUAACGGCUCACCUGGGCGACGAUCCCUAGCUGGUCUGAGAGGAUGACCAGCCACAAUGGAACUGAGACACGGUCCAGACUCCUACGGGAGGCAGCAGUGGGGAAUAUUGCACAAUGGGCGCAAGCCUGAUGCAGCCAUGCCGCGUGUAUGAAGGAGGCCUUCGGGUUGUAAAGUACUUUCAGCGGGGAGGCGUUACCCGCAUAAGAAGCACCGGCUAACUCCGUGCCAGCAGCCGCGGUAAUAC